rnacentral:rRNA from 1 species
UACGGAGGUGGCAAGCGUUGUUCGGAAUUACUGGGCGUAAAGGGCGCGUAGGCGGCAUGGCAAGUCAGAUGUGAAAGCCCCGGGCUUAACCUGGGAAUUGCAUCUGAAACUGUUGUGCUUGAGUUCUGGAGGGGGUAGUGGAAUUCCCAGUGUAGCGGUGAAAUGCGUAGAUAUCGGGAGGAACACCGGUGGCGAAGGCGGCUUUCUGGCCAGUUACUGACGCUCAUGCGCGAAAGCUGGGGUAGCGAACCGGAUUAGAUACCCGGGUAGUCCCUGA